UUGCGCUCGCCCGGCGCUUCGCCGUUCGCCGCGUGGAUCUCGGGAGGGACGACGCGUGGAGCUCGGGUACGGCAACGCGGAUCUCGGCUUCACACGGCUCCCAGCGGCAACGCGCCGGCGUCCGCGCGGGACGACGGCGGUCGUGACUGUCGGGAGAGCCGAUGCCUUCGUCCAGAGCUGUCGGGCGUGCGUGCUGCCGCGACCUGGACGGCUCGAAUCGGAUCUGCGACGAAUGGCGCGGGCAACCGGAGCUGCGGCGGACUGACGGCGCCCAAGGACGACGCGUCGGGUGCGGCCGGCGCUUCGCCGUUAGUCAGAUCUGCUACGUAG
rnacentral:misc_RNA from 1 species